rnacentral:rRNA from 1 species
UACAGAGGAGCCAAGCGUUGUCCGGAUUGACUGGGCGUAAAGCGCACGCAGGCGGUUUGGCGCGUGGGGUGUGAAAUCUGGCCGCUUAACGGCCAGGCGCCAUCCCAUACGGCGCGACUGGAGCGAUGCAGAGGUCGGUGGAACUGCCGGUGUAGUGGUGAAAUGCGUAGAGAUCGGCAGGAACACCCAGGGGGAAACCAGCCGACUGGGCAUCUGCUGACGCUGAUGUGCGAGAGCGUGGGGAGCGAACCGG